rnacentral:rRNA from 1 species
AGUGAAUAAUUAAACGGCCGCGGUACCCUAACCGUGCAAAGGUAGCAUAAUCAUUUGUCUAUUAAUUGUAGACCUGUAUGAAAGGCAAAAUGAGGGUUUAACUGUCUCUUAUAGUAAAUCAAUUAAACUGAUCUCCUAGUAAAAAAGCUAAGAUAUCCCCAUAAGACCAGAAGACCCUGUGAAGCUUAAACUAAACUAUUAAACCCUAUAAUAACUACUUUCGGUUGGGGCGACCUUGGAAAAAAAAAGAACUUCCAAACAUAGUGAUACCUACCUCACCACAUCAGGCCUACUAGCCUACAAACUAGACCCAGCACAGCUGAUUAAUGAACCAAGUUACUCCAGGGAUAACAGCGCCAUCUUCUUCAAGAGCCCAUAUCAAAAAGAAGGUUUACGACCUCGAUGUUGGAUCAGGACAUCCUAA